AAGGAAUGCAUUGUGUGUUUCUGUGUGUGUAAGGGAUGCAUUGUGUGUAAGGGUUGCAUUGCUUGUGUGUGUGUGUGUAAUGCAUUGUGUGUUUUUCUGUGUGCAAGGGGUGCUUUGUGUGUGUGUGUGAUGGAUGUCAAUCUCUUAUCCCCCCUCUCCCUCCCUUGUCACUCUCUUCUCCCCCCCUUGUCCCUCUCUUCUCCCCCCUCCCUUGUCACUCUCUUUUCCCC